rnacentral:lncRNA from 1 species
CCACCUUUCUCUUUUUGCACACAAACGAUUUUCUAAUUAACUUUAGAAGAAAAAUCAUGUGAAGAAAAUUUAUCUGUCCGAAGAAAAGAUCUCCAAAGACCAUCAAUCUUCUGAUUACCCAAAUUGGGAGUUUGAAAAUGGACAAGGAAGAUAAGGAAGAGAUAUAAAAAUAUCAUUGAUCAAAGUGAGUCGAACCAUCGAAGGAGAGGCAAUUGCUUUUCUAAGAAGUCAAUUUA